CCUACGGGAGGCAGCAGUGAGGAAUAUUGGUCAAUGGACGAGAGUCUGAACCAGCCAAGUAGCGUGAAGGAUGAAUGCCCUAUGGGUUGUAAACUUCUUUUAUAUGGGAAUAAAAUGUUCCACGUGUGGGAUUUUGUAUGUACCAUAUGAAUAAGGAUCGGCGAACUCCGUGCCAGCAGCCGCGGUAAUACGGAGGAUCCGAGGGUUAUCCGGAUUUAGUGGGUUUAAAGGGAGCGUAGGUGGAUUGUUAAGUCAGUUGUGAAAGUUUGCGGCUCAACCGUAAAAUUGCAGUUGAAACUGGCAUUCUUGAGUACAGUAGAGGUGGGCGGAAUUCGUGUUGUAGCGGUGCAAUGCUUAGAUAUCACGAAGAACUCCGAUUGCGAAGGCAGCUCACUGGACCGCAACUGACACUGAGGCUCGAAAGUGUGGGUAUCAAACAGGAUUAGAUACCCUUGUAGUC
rnacentral:rRNA from 1 species